CCCUCCUUCCUCUUUCUCCCUCCUUUCUUUCAUCAUAUUCUUUUUUUUCCCACCUCUCUCCUACCAUCCACUCCUCCUUUCUUUCUUUCCUUCCUCUGUUUCCUCUCCGUUCAUCCUAUUCUUUCUUUCCCCAACCUUCCUCCUCCCAUUUCCUCCUUUCUUUCCUUCCUCUUCCCCCCUCCUAGUUUUUGUCAUCCCACUCCUCCCUUCAUUCUAUCUUCCUCCCCCCCUUCUUUCAUCCUAUUCUUUCUCCCACCUCCCUCCCUUCCUUUCUGUUAUCCCAUUCCUUCUUAUCUUCUCUUCCUUCCUCCCUCUCCCUUCAUUUCUUCCUAUCUUGCCUGUAUCCUUCUGUCAACAUUUCUCCCAUCUUUCAUUCUUCCUUUCUCUUAUUCUUCUGCAUUCCUCCCUUUCCAUUUCUCACAGAUCUCUUCCCUCCGCAUCAAUUUCA